AGCGAACGCUGGCGGCAGGCCUAACACAUGCAAGUCGAGCGGCCGUAGCAAUACGGCAGCGGCAGACGGGAGAGUAACACGUGGGAACGCGCCCUUCGGUCUGGAAUAACCCAGGGAAACUUGGGCUAAUACCGGAUACGCCCUUACGGGGAAAGAUUUAUUGCCGAAGGAACGGCCCGCGUCCGAUUAGCUAGUUGGUGAGGUAACGGCUCACCAAGGCGACGAUCUGUAGCUGGUCUGAGAGGAUGACCAGCCUCACUGGGACUGAGACACGGCCCAGACUCCUACGGGAGGCAGCAGUGGGGAAUAUUGGACAAUGGGCGCAAGCCUGAUCCAGCCAUGCCGCGUGGGUGAUGAAGGCCCUAGGGUUGUAAAGCCCUUUCAGCGGAGAAGAUAAUGACGGUACCCGCAGAAGUAGCCCCGGCUAACUUCGUGCCAGCCGCCGCGGUAAAAC
rnacentral:rRNA from 1 species